ACCUGGCAAUAGCUCAGUUAGUAGAGCAUAAGACUCUUGAUCUCAGGGUCGUGGGUUUGAACCCCAUUUUGGGUA